AUUGAACGCUGGCGGCAUGCUUUACACAUGCAAGUCGAACGGCAGCGCGGGGGCAACCCUGGCGGCGAGUGGCGAACGGGUGAGUAAUAUAUCGGAACGUACCCAGAAGUGGGGAUAACGUAGCGAAAGUUACGCUAAUACCGCAUACGAUCUACGGAUGAAAGUGGGGGACCUUCGGGCCUCAUGCUUUUGGAGCGGCCGAUAUCUGAUUAGCUAGUUGGUGAGGUAAAGGCUCACCAAGGCGACGAUCAGUAGCUGGUCUGAGAGGACGACCAGCCACACUGGAACUGAGACACGGUCCAGACUCCUACGGGAGGCAGCAGUGGGGAAGUUUUGGACAAUGGGGGCGAACCCUGAUCCAGCAAUGCCGCGUGAGUGAAGAAGG
rnacentral:rRNA from 1 species